rnacentral:misc_RNA from 1 species
GUGCAAAGUGCCUGCAGUUGUUGAAACUUUGGCAGACCAAGCUUGCGAUCAUAACUUCCAGAUUAUAUCAUGAAAAAGGCUUGAGAUCGAACCCAAUGAGCGUCACGUCAAGAUGCAAACUACUCACAUCCCGGUUGCUUUCAAAAAUAGGUGAUACUAGUACAACGCGUCGAUAUUGUUUAAUAAACACAAUCCGAUUUCUUUCCAAUCCAAGAGAUCAUAGAGAUCAUAGCUGCAGUGAGAACGAUGAAGCUACGUUGUAUGUUCAUUGGCCAUUCUGCAGGCAGAUCUGUACAUUUUGCAAUUUUAACAAAUAUUUAAGUAACAAUGUGAACCAUCAGCGUAUGCGGAAAUGCCUUGUGACAGAAACAGAAACCCUGUUACAUUUGUCUGGUGUGAAAAGGAUUUCCUCAGUUUACUUUGGUGGAGGUACACCCAGUCUAGCAGAGCCUUUGACAAUCUCCUCAGUGCUGGAAACUGCAGCUAGGAUUUGCCAUUUGUCAAAUGAAGCCGAAGUGACGCUUGAGGCUAAUCCCACCUCAGCUGAAACUGACAACCUCAGACAUUUCUAUACAGCUGGGAUCAAUCGGCUUUCACUCGGAGUCCAGGCCUUCAGUGUGAGAGAUUUGACUGUAUUGGGGAGAGAUAACACCAUUAAAGAUUCACUGCAAGCAUUACAGACUGCAAGAUCCAUAUUCCCUGGGAAAGUUUCAAUUGACCUAAUGUUUGGGCAACCACACCAAACACUAGAUGACUGGAACAAGGAGCUGUCCCAUGCGUUAUCUGUGUGCGAUGAUCAUAUUUCAUUAUAUCAACUGACUCUUGAGAGAGGUACACCACUUUUUAAGAGUGUCAAAUCAGGAAAAUUGCCACUUCCUAAUCCUGAUGUUGUAGCUGAAAUGUACCAGUUGGCUGUAGAGACUUUGAUUGCAAAUGGAUUCCACAGAUAUGAAGUGGCAAACUUUGCAAGACCAGGUGCAGAGAGUAGGCAUAACCUGUCUUACUGGAAUGGCACUCAGUACAUUGGAGUGGGGCCAGGGGCCCAUGGCAGAUUUCAAAUGCUGUUAGAAGGGCUUGAAAGACUUCAACUUUAUGGUGUAUGAGCAAACUGAAUAUACAUCACUUGAAGGGGUAUUGUGCAGAAUAAAGACCUGUUAUUUGUUCCUUAUGGAAGUGGAAGUGAAACACGACAAGCAAGAGUGCAGACACUAGAACCAAACCAAUGGAUGAAAGAGGC